AACGAACGCUGGCGGCAUGCCUAACACAUGCAAGUCGAACGAGACCUUCGGGUCUAGUGGCGCACGGGUGCGUAACGCGUGGGAAUCUGCCCUGGGGUGCGGAAUAACUCGGAGAAAUCCGUGCUAAUACCGCAUAAUGUCUUCGGACCAAAGAUUUAUCGCCCUGGGAUGAGCCCGCGUAGGAUUAGCUAGUUGGUGGGGUAAAGGCCUACCAAGGCGACGAUCCUUAGCUGGUCUGAGAGGAUGAUCAGCCACACUGGGACUGAGACACGGCCCAGACUCCUACGGGAGGCAGCAGUGGGGAAUAUUAGACAAUGGGCGAAAGCCUGAUCCAGCAAUGCCGCGUGAGUGAUG
rnacentral:rRNA from 1 species